AGCCCGCUCAGAACUUAAGGAUUGACGGGGCCCGCACAAGCGGAGGAGCAUGUGGUUUAAUUCGAUGAUACGCGAGGAACCUUACCUGGGCUCGAACGUAAGAUGACUGUAGGUGAAAGCUUACAUCUCUUCGGAGCAUUUUACGAGGUGCUGCAUGGUUGUCGUCAGCUCGUGCCGUGAGGUGUCGGGUUAAGUCCCAUAACGAGCGCAACCCUACCUUUAGUUGCCAUCAGGUAAUGCUGGGGACUCUAAAGGAACUGCCUACGCAAGUAGUGAGGAAGGCGGGGAUGACGUCAAAUCAGCACGGCCCUUACGUCCAGGGCUACACACGUGCUACAAUGGCCGAUACAGAGGGCAGCUACCUGGUGACAGGAUGCAAAUCUCCAAAGUCGGUCUCAGUUCGGAUCGGAGUCUGCAACCCGACUCCGUGAAGUUGGAUUCGCUAGUAAUCGCGCAUCAGCCAUGGCGCGGUGAAUACGUUCCCGGGCCUU
rnacentral:rRNA from 1 species